CUGAGUUAGGGAGCAAUCCCGAACCUCCAACCCUUUGUGAACACAUCUUGUUGCUUCGGGGGCGACCCUGCCGUUUCGACGGCAUUCCCCCCGGAGGUCAUCAAAACACUGCAUUCUUACGUCGGAGUAUAAAGUUAAUUUAAUA
rnacentral:misc_RNA from 1 species